GGGAUAACGCAGCGAAAGUUGUGCUAAUACCGCAUACGUACUGAGGUAGAAAGUGGGGGACUUUCGGGCCUCACGCUAUUCGAGCGGCCGAUGGCAGAUUAGGUAGUUGGUGGGGUAAAGGCCUACCAAGCCGACGAUCUGUAGCUGGUCUGAGAGGACGACCAGCCACACUGGGACUGAGACACGGCCCAGACUCCUACGGGAGGCAGCAGUGGGGAAUUUUGGACAAUGGGCGCAAGCCUGAUCCAGCAAUGCCGCGUGCAGGAUGAAGGCCUUCGGGUUGUAAACUGCUUUUGUACGGAGCGAAAAGGUUUUCUCUAAUACAGAAGGCCCA
rnacentral:rRNA from 1 species